rnacentral:lncRNA from 10 species
AAUUCUGGGAAUCAGGGGCUUCACUGGGCCUUUCUCCAUGCUCCUAUGAACACGCUCCUGUGCGCAGUCUUCACUGCGACUGGAUUACCACGGCAGCCAGGGUUGGAAAAAGAACGGCAACAACCCUAACAGCUUGGGUGCAGCACUCGUGGCACACUCAGGGAGCUGGAAGCAUCUGAGAAUUGACACCCCAGGUGCAGCCCUCAGCCUAAUGCCGUGCGGAGGGUGCAGAGGCAAACACGUUGCAGCUCCCUUUCCAGCAGGGAUAGCUCUGAGGUGCGACCUACGCUGCUGCCAGAAGUCCCUUGGGAGAUGACCCACACUGACCCACCAGGACUUGGCUUGGGACGCAGGAUUUCUGGUCCUUCUCUUCCCACCCAUUUCCCCAUGCCCCUCUGCUGGUUUCUACUGGGAACAUAACUUAAGAAAUAAAUUUCACAUGAGU